GGCGGCGUGCCUAACACAUGCAAGUCGAACGGAAGCUACCGCUUCGGAGACUUCGGUCAAUGUUGGUAGUUUUAGUGGCGGACGGGUGAGUAACGCGUGGAUAACCUGCCAUAUACAGGGGGAUAACACAGCGAAAGUUGUACUAAUAUCGCAUAAGACCACGGCGAGACAUCUCGCAGGGGUCAAAGGAGCAAUCCGGUGAAGGGUGGGCUCGCGUCCGAUUAGAUAGUUGGUGAGGUAACGGCCCACCCAAGUCGACGAUCGGUAGCCGACCUGAGAGGGUGAUCGGCCACAUUGGGACUGAGACACGGCCCAAACUCCUACGGGAGGCAGCAGUGGGGAAUAUUGGGCAAUGGGGGAAACCCUGACCCAAGCAACGCCGCGUGAGGGAAGAAGGUUUUCGGAUCGUAAACCUCUGUCCUAUGUGAAGAGUAAGAGACGGUAGCAUAGGAGGAAGCCCCGGCUAACUACGUGCCAGCAGCUGC
rnacentral:rRNA from 1 species